CCCGCUGAAUUUAAGCAUAUCACUAAGCGGAGGAAAAGAAACUUACAAGGAUUCCCCUAGUAACGGCGAGCGAACCGGGAACAGCCCAGCAUGAAAAUCGAGCGGCAGUGCCGUUCGAAUUGUAGUCUGUAGAAGCGUCCUCAGCGGCGGACCGGGCCCAAGUCCCUUGGAAGGGGGCGCCGGAGAGGGUGAGAGCCCCGUCGGGCCCGGACCCUGUCGCACCACGAGGCGCUGUCGGCGAGUCGGGUUGUUUGGGAAUGCAACCCUAAUCGGGUGGUAAAUUCCGUCCAAGGCUAAAUACGGGCGAGAGACCGAUAGCGAACAAGUACCGCGAGGGAAAGAUGAAAAGGACUUUGGAAAGAGAGUUAAAGAGUGCUUGAAAUUGCCGGGAGGGAAGCGGAUGGAGGCCGGCGAUGCGCCCCAGUCGGAUGCGGAACGGUGCGAGCCGGACCGCCGCUCGGCUUGGGGUGCGUGCCAGCGCAGUCCGUCGGGGCGGCAAAAGCGCGGGCGGAAGGCCGCCCGAUGCCCGGAGUCGUCCCGGCGGUCGUGGUACGAAGCGUGCGCCCUCGCGGCGGGCCCUCGGGCACCUGCGCGCUCGUGGCGCUGGCCGGCGGGCUUUCCAUCCGACCCGUCUUGAAACACGGACCAAGGAGUCUAACA
rnacentral:rRNA from 1 species